rnacentral:lncRNA from 1 species
GCUGGUAGAUAAGGGACACAACCCACAAAGCCGAGGCUGGCCAACUCUCCGCCUCGGCCCGAUUUCAGCGUGAGGUCCACCGAGUUCUCACUUCUCCUUAGUUAGGGUUAGGUUUUGUCAUUUGUGCGCCGCCUGAGCUCUAUUCCCUCCCUCCCUCAGUGUCCCUUUCCCCUCUCCUCUCCUCCGGAUUCUUCGCCUCCCCGUCGACGGCGACC